CCUACGGGAGGCUGCAGUGGGGAAUAUUGGACAAUGGGGGCAACCCUGAUCCAGCCAUGCCGCGUGUGUGAAGAAGGCCCUCGGGUUGUAAAGCACUUUCAGUGAGGAAGAACGCCUGGUGGUUAAUACCCAUCAGGAAAGACAUCACUCACAGAAGAAGCACCGGCUAACUCCGUGCCAGCAGCCGCGGUAAUACGGAGGGUGCGAGCGUUAAUCGGAAUUACUGGGCGUAAAGCGCGCGUAGGUGGCUUGAUAAGCCGGUUGUGAAAGCCCCGGGCUCAACCUGGGAACGGCAUCCGGAACUGUCAAGCUAGAGUGCAGGAGAGGAAGGUAGAAUUCCCGGUGUAGCGGUGAAAUGCGUAGAGAUCGGGAGGAAUACCAGUGGCGAAGGCGGCCUUCUGGACUUACACUGACACUGAGGUGCGAAAGCGUGGGUAGCAAACAGGAUUAGAUACCCCAGUAGUC
rnacentral:rRNA from 1 species